rnacentral:rRNA from 1 species
UGGGGAAUAUUGGACAAUGGGCGGAAGCCUGAUCCAGCAACGCCGCGUGAGGGAUGACGGCCUUCGGGUUGUAAAUCUCUUUCAGUACCGACGAAGCGAGAGUGACGGUAGGUACAGAAGAAGCACCGGCCAACUACGUGCCAGCAGCCGCGGUAAUACGUAGGGUGCGAGCGUUGUCCGGAAUUAUUGGGCGUAAAGGGCUCGUAGGCGGUUUGUCGCGUCGGGAGUGAAAAUCCAGGGCUUAACUCUGGACUGGCUUCCGAUACGGGCAGACUAGAGGUAUGCAGGGGAGAACGGAAUUCCUGGUGUAGCGGUGAAAUGCGCAGAUAUCAGGAGGAACACCGGUGGCGAAGGCGGUUCUCUGGGCAUUACCUGACGCUGAGGAGCGAAAGUGUGGGGAGCGAACAGGAUUAGAUACCCUGGUAGUCCACACCGUAAACGUUGGGCGCUAGGUGUGGGGUCCAUUCCACGGAUUCCGUGCCGCAGCUAACGCAUUAAGCGCCCCGCCUGGGGAGUACGGCCGCAAGGCUAA